AAGACUAUACUUCACAGGAUCAUUUCUGUAGUCAGUCUUCAAUUACUUUCAUUGCAAAAUGAAAAAUCACACACCUGCGAUGAGGAGGUAUAUCGCACUAUCUGUAGCGUGAGGUUUUGAACUUUGCCAUUCUUUUUGGGUCUGCAAGGCUUGAGUUUUUGGUGGCAAUGUUUCUUCGAUGAUCGCUCGAUUAAACGGAUAGUGCGACUUCUGAGUGGU